UGUAUGGGCUCCUGAGAUCUUCAUGUGUAGCUGUCGGUGGGAAAUGGGCAAAGGGCUAGUGCUGGUUGGAGUGUUUUACCACCACAACAUUCUUAGACACUGAGAAGAUCCUAUGAUGUCAAGCACUGAGGACAAGACAAGGGGUUUCUUUGAGAAGAAUCGUCUCAAAUCUUCAUUUAAAUCUUGGACUGAAAAGUUUUGAGAUUUGAAAACAGAUCUAAAUGCAAACUCGGAUCUCAUGCGCUAUGUCAAGAUGAAGUGCAUGUGUUGCAAUUAGAGCAUCAGGAGACGUCAUGGUGGCUUUAUGGCAGAAUGAGGAUUUGUGCAAAGACUGGAGUAUGUUCCAUCCCCCUACUCACAGCUGUUGGGAGUUGAGCUUCACCUGCAACAACUAUCUCUGUCUACAAUUUAAGUGAGUUUUGAUUGCAGGAUGGCAAACCAUAGUUUCUACCUUUUAAUGUAGACCUGUUUUUUUCCCACAAUUUGAAGAAAAAAUGUAAAGUCUUCAGAAUGAAAUAUUUGCUCCAAAAUACUAAUUUAAAUGUUUUGUACAAAAAUAAUUAUAUAAUCUCUAAAUGUGACCCAUUGGUGAGUAUUGGUGGUUUAUAGACAGGAAUAUACUGUACUGUAUUUUUAAAAGUGGAUAAAAAUGCGUUCUAAACAGUCCUAAUUUGCUUGAUGGGAGUUUGUC